rnacentral:ribozyme from 13 species
AAGAAGAAGAAGAGGGUUUGGAAAAAGAAGAAAGAGAGGGAGCAGAGGCAACAUUUUCUUUAGUUUUUGAAGGGGCAAAUUUCUUUUUCUUCGCCCCCUUUUCUUCAUCACUAUCUGAAUCU